UGGAAAGAAAGAAAGAAAGAAAGAAAGAAAGAAAGAAAGAGCCCUUUUAUUUGUUUUUUUUAAAGCACGUGUAUUUCUUUCUUUCUUUCUUUCUUUCUUUCAUUCUUUCUUU